rnacentral:rRNA from 1 species
CGCGUAGGCGGCCGUUUAAGUCGGAUGUGAAAGCCCGGGGCUUACCCCCGGAAGUGCAUUUGAAACUGGACGGCUUGAGUAUGGGAGAGGGAAGCGGAAUUCCUGGUGUAGAGGUGAAAUUCGUAGAUAUCAGGAGGAACACCGGUGGCGAAGGCGGCUUCCUGGACCAAUACUGACGCUGAGGCGCGAAGGCGUGGGGAGCAAACAGGGAUUAGAUACCCUGGUAGUCCACGCAAUAAACGUUGAUCACUAGGUGUAGCGGGUAUUGACCCCUGCUGUGCCGACGCUAACGCAUUAAGUGAUCCGCCUGGGAAGUACGGCCGCAAGGUUAAA